ACGCUGAGGUGUGAUGACGAGGCACUACGGUGCUGAAGUAACAAAUGCCCUGCUUCCAGGAAAAGCCUCUAAGCAUCAGGUAACACGAAAUCGUACCCCAAACCGACACAGGUGGUCAGGUAGAGAAUACCAAGGCGCUUGAGAGAACUCGGGUGAAGGAACUAGGCAAAAUGGUGCCGUAACUUCGGGAGAAGGCACGCUGAUAUGUAGGUGAAGUGAUUUACUCAUGGAGCUGAAAUCAGUCGAAGAUACCAGCUGGCUGCAACUGUUUAUUAAAAACACAGCACUGUGCAAACACGAAAGUGGACGUAUACGGUGUGACGCCUGCCCGGUGCCGGAAGGUUAAUUGAUGGGGUUAUCCGUAAGGAGAAGCUCUUGAUCGAAGCCCCGGUAAACGGCGGCCGUAACUAUAACGGUCCUAAGGUAGCGAAAUUCCUUGUCGGGUAAGUUCCGACCUGCACGAAUGGCGUAAUGAUGGCCAGGCUGUCUCCACCCGAGACUCAGUGAAAUUGAACUCGCUGUGAAGAUGCAGUGUACCCGCGGCAAGACGGAAAGACCCCGUGAACCUUUACUAUAGCUUGACACUGAACACUGGUCCUUGAUGUGUAGGAUAGGUGGGAGGCUUUGAAGUGUGGACGCCAGUCUGCAUGGAGCCAUCCUUGAAAUACCACCCUUUAAUGGCUGGUGUUCUAACGUGGACCCGUAAUCCGGGUUGCGGACAGUGUCUGGUGGGUAGUUUGACUGGGGCGGUCUCCUCCUAAAGAGUAACGGAGGAGCACGAAGGUUAGCUAAUCCUGGUCGGACAUCAGGAGGUUAGUGCAAAGGCAUAAGCUAGCUUGACUGCGAGAGUGACGGCUCGAGCAGGUGCGAAAGCAGGUCUUAGUGAUCCGGUGGUUCUGAAUGGAAGGGCCAUCGCUCAACGGAUAAAAGGUACUCCGGGGAUAACAGGCUGAUACCGCCCAAGAGUUCAUAUCGACGGCGGUGUUUGGCACCUCGAUGUCGGCUCAUCACAUCCUGGGGCUGAAGUAGGUCCCAAGGGUAUGGCUGUUCGCCAUUUAAAGUGGUACGCGAGCUGGGUUUAGAACGUCGUGAGACAGUUCGGUCCCUAUCUGCCGUGGGCGCUGGAGAAUUGAGGGGGGCUGCUCCUAGUACGAGAGGACCGGAGUGGACGCAUCACUGGUGUUCGGGUUGUCAUGCCAAUGGCAUUGCCCGGUAGCUAAAUGCGGAAGAGAUAAGUGCUGAAAGCAUCUAAGCACGAAACUUGCCCCG
rnacentral:rRNA from 1 species